rnacentral:rRNA from 1 species
UACGAAGGGGGCUAGCGUUGCUCGGAAUCACUGGGCGUAAAGCGCACGUAGGCGGCUUUCUAAGUCAGGGGUGAAAUCCUGGAGCUCAACUCCAGAACUGCCUUUGAUACUGGAGAGCUCGAGUCCGGAAGAGGUGAGUGGAACUCCGAGUGUAGAGGUGAAAUUCGUAGAUAUUCGGAAGAACACCAGUGGCGAAGGCGGCUCACUGGUCCGGUACUGACGCUGAGGCGCGAAGGCGUGGGGAGCAAACAGG